UACGAAGGGUGCAAGCGUUAUUCGGAAUUACUGGGCGUAAAGGGUGCGUAGGCGGUUCGUUAAGUCUGUCGUGAAAUCCCCGGGCUCAACCUGGGAAUGGCGAUGGAUACUGGCGAGCUAGAGUGUGUCAGAGGAUGGUGGAAUUCCCGGUGUAGCGGUGAAAUGCGUAGAGAUCGGGAGGAACAUCAGUGGCGAAGGCGGCCAUCUGGGACAUCACUGACGCUGAAGCACGAAAGCGUGGGGAGCAAACAGG
rnacentral:rRNA from 1 species